rnacentral:rRNA from 1 species
UGGGGAAUAUUGCACAAUGGGCGCAAGCCUGAUGCAGCCAUGCCGCGUGUGUGAAGAAGGCCUUCGGGUUGUAAAGCACUUUCAGCGAGGAGGAAGGGUAGUGUGUUAAUAGCACAUUGCAUUGACGUUACUCGCAGAAGAAGCACCGGCUAACUCCGUGCCAGCAGCCGCGGUAAUACGGAGGGUGCAAGCGUUAAUCGGAAUUACUGGGCGUAAAGCGCACGCAGGCGGUUUGUUAAGUCAGAUGUGAAAUCCCCGCGCUUAACGUGGGAACUGCAUUUGA